CCUACGGGAGGCAGCAGUAGGGAAUCUUCCACAAUGGGCGAAAGCCUGAUGGAGCAACGCCGCGUGGGUGAAGAAGGUCUUCGGAUCGUAAAACCCUGUUGUUAGAGAAGAAAGUGCGUGCGAGUAACUGUUCACGUUUCGACGGUAUCUAACCAGAAAGCCACGGCUAACUACGUGCCAGCAGCCGCGGUAAUACGUAGGUGGCAAGCGUUAUCCGGAUUUAUUGGGCGUAAAGGGAACGCAGGCGGUCUUUUAAGUCUGAUGUGAAAGCCUUCGGCUUAACCGGAGUAGUGCAUUGGAAACUGGGAGACUGGAGUGCAGAAGAGGAGAGUGGAACUCCAUGUGUAGCGGUGAAAUGCGUAGAUAUAGGGAAGAACACCAGUGGCGAAAGCGGCUCUCUGGUCUGUAACUGACGCUGAGGUUCGAAAGCGUGGGUAGCAAACAGGAUUAGAUACCCUAGUAGUC
rnacentral:rRNA from 1 species